GCAGGCACAGUGGCACCUGUCUAUGGUCCCAGCCACUUGGGAGGCUGGGGCAGGAGGAUCGUUUGAGUCCAGGAGUUCAAGGUCAGGACAGCCUGGGCAACAUGACGAGACUCUGUCUCAA
rnacentral:sRNA from 1 species